CUGGUGCUUGCGACGCAGAGAAAAGAAGGCAGAAAAUAUAAUCAUUAGAAACUCUCUAGAGGAAAUAUAACUUGAAUCAUCAUGCAGAAACUUACUAUCAAUUUAUUGGUCUUGAUAACGAUGUUACUUACAAUAACCAGCACCGAAUCCUUGGAUUCUUCCUCAGACUCUUCUUCUGAAUCUUCGGAAGAUCAAUCAGGUGAUGAAUGCAAUCCAAACCCGUGUUUAAAUGGUGGCACGUGCAAUUUAUUGACACCGUCAGGAUUCCAGUGUUUGUGUGUAUUUCCACCUCCAUUAUCAGGACCUUUGUGCGAAUUUGUAUCAAGUCCAGCAUAAUAAUUGUAGAAUUGUCCAAUAGAAGCAUUGACAACAAGAGGAAGAAGGAAAAUAAAAAGAUCAUUCAGCCAAAACAAAAAUUAUGACCCACUUUAGAAAAAUUCUUGUCGCCUGCGUUAUUGGUCAUCUGUUACAAACACAUGAUGGAUAAUGUACAUUAAAAAUAGGUUCUUACAUUAGAAAUAGCAUAUUAUUGAUAUUUUAUAACAUCAGUCGAUCUAUAAAUGCCACUUUUGGUAGUUUAUUAUAGUUGCUGUUUUGUCUUAUGCAGGUAAUUAUUUAAAAAUGUACUGUUUCAAGGGCUAUCUCUAAAAUGAAUUUAUGUUGCGGUUACAGGUUUCUUUAAGGAUUUCUAAUACUUAGCACUGUUGGUACUGUAAUAGAUCGACUAAUUGUUGUUGUUUCUAUAAUUAACGUUAUAAAACAUAUGAUGAAGUUUUAAAAUCAUGUUUCCCUGUUAGGAAAAACGCUAUAUAUUCUUUAGGUUUAUGUUUUAAUUUAGUUGUAUGUCUUAUUAUGCCUCGUAACGAAGUUUCAUGUAUUUGAAAUGGCCAUUCCAGCACUAUGUUAUACGAAGCACAUCCGCAAUUUUUUGUGCGGUGUUUAUGACAUUUUAAAUGGUCAGAGGGCUGUCAUUUUUUCUUCUAUAUGAUGUUCAAUUUUAAAAUCAGAACAAAUGUAAAUAUUCAAAUUUUUUUUUUUAGAAUACAGCUUAACAUUUUUAUUCUCUCUCCUGACGGAAGAAAACGUCAUAUUUAUUGUAUUGUAUAUCUGAUGUGUUAUCAAACAUGUUGCAUUAAGUAAAUGUUUAAUUUCUUUAUGUUAAAGAAUUUACAGGUUUACUAUGUUUUACCCUCCGUAACAUGAGUUAAUGCACAUAUAGAUCUAUAUCAACAUUCAAUAUUGUUUAAACGCUAUCAAUAUUGUUGUAGAAAUUUCUGUGAGCCGGACCUUUAAAGACUACAAGUUAAGAAGUAUUAUUUAACUUUCGCCUUCAUAACAUUUUUUUCAAUAAUAAGUGCAUCCAAAUUUUGGUUUUGGCUGCCGUAUGAUGAAUCUAAAAUAAUUGAAAAGCGUUUAUAGACAAUAAGACUAUCUUGGCCAAUGAGAAAUGAAUGCAUAUGCACUUGAUAUAACGAUUUCAAUAAAAGUAUUGUUAAAGUCAA